UACGAAGGGUGCAAGCCGUUAGUCGGAAUUACUGGGCGUAAAGCGUGCGUAGGCGGUUUCUUAAGUCCGUUGUGAAAGCCCCGGGCUCAACCUGGGAAUGGCAGUGGAGUACUGAGAGCUAGAGUGGUGUCAGGAGGAUGGUGGAAUUCCCGGUGUAGCGGUGAAAUGCGUAGAGAUCGGGAGGAACAUCAGUGGCGAAGGCGGCCAUCUGGGACAACACUGACGCUGAGGCACGGAAAGCGAUGGGGAGCAAACAC
rnacentral:rRNA from 1 species